CCGGUGGCUUCCUCGCGCUAGGAGCCCGGGGCUGGGGCGGGCCUCCCCGCGCCCGUGGGAUGAGUCCGGCCCCGGAGGGCGAGGCGCCGCUGUCACCAUCCCCAGGAGACGACGGCUGGGUGCGCUAAGUGCUGGGAAGGUAGCAGUGCCAGUACUGUCAGGAGGCAGUGGGGCCACGUGCACAAUGGCUGAAAGAGCGACCACCCAAAGUGAUGCAUUUCAGUAUUGAAGAUGCACAGAGACCUGUAUCAGUUGACCUCAGCCUGUGACCAGUGGAGUAAAGAGUCACUAACUCAGAAAGAUCCAGCGACUCAGGCUCCAGAACUCACCUCUAACUAGCAUGUGAAGUUCCUAUUACAUUUUGGGUACUGCACCCACUGAAAGGGGGCCGAGUUUAGAGCAUCUUCAGAUUAUUCUUCUGCAUCUCUAAUUCAAUCAUUUGAGUUACACUGACUAUAAAACAUAAUAGUGCAAUACAGAAUCGGAGCCUGGAUUUUUAGUCCGUUGUGAAGACAUAACACUCACUAGCCAGCAUGACUGCUAAUAGAUUUUAUUAGCAUAAUUGCAUUUGUGCGAUUAUACCAACUCAAGCACACCAAAAUCAAUAUUGACUAAUGAGCUCUCAGUACUCUUUUAAAUAAACUUAGUGUCUUAUCUUCAAAGGAAAACACACAAACCCCAAUAAGAGAGAAAUACAAGUAGACCUAUGAAAGCCAGUAAUUAGUGAAUUUUGUUUUACAGAAGGCCAGAUUCAGAGUGUGUGCAUAUCUCUAUAACCCCAUGGACUUUGUGGAGCUACCCUGAUUCAAACUAGUUAAGUUUAUGGCUCUAGCUAUUUUAUUCCUUCCUUUAUUGUCGUACCAUGCCGAGCUUACAGAAUGGACAAGAGAAAUAAGGGCUUACAACACUUGAAAAUGAGCUGAAAUUUUGCGGUUCUGGAUAAGUGUUUAACUGCUCGUCAAGGUUAACAAUGUGUUUAGUGUGUGCACAUGAGGGAAAUCUUAAACAAGUGGAUUUACAGAAAGAAGCCUUUGCUAGAUUGAGAGUAUAAAGGUCUAUGGCUGCAAGUUGGAAGAUAAUUGCUUGAAAACAUUGCUAUAAAAAUAAACCAUAAACCUCCAUGACCAGCCUCAGAUACAUCAUGGGAACAAGCUGCAUGCCAAGAAACAGCAGGGAAGGUAAGAGCUAACGCUUGCUCCUCUGCGUCCAGCAGCACUCCAGCACGAACUGUCCACUCCCAGCCCAGCUGGAUGACCAAAUCAGGCUUGUCUGGCCAGAAAAUUGCAUUGUACAGGUGGGAAUAACAGAUAAGAGAAUCAAGCACCAGAGCAGCUACACUCUACAUCAUCUCAGAGCAAGGAUGAUGCUAAACAGAGUUUGAAUCCUCAGUUCAGAAAACUCCUUUCCUUCCUUUUCAGUUUUUUCUUCUUCUUUUUUUUCUCUUCCAAUUGGUGUCAAAUAUAGUUGUCCCAUGGUAUGACAGCUGGCACACAGCACCAGGUUACAGCUCCUGUAGUCUGCAAUAAUACAGGUCCAUAUGCUUUUAUUAAAAUCUGCCUUGUUUGUUCAUUUCU